ACGAGCGCACCCUUGUCACUAAUUGCCAUCAUUCAGUUGGGCACUUUAUUGAGACUGCCGGUGACAAACCGGAGGAAGGUGGGGAUGACGUCAAGUCCUCAUGGCCCUUAUGGGUAGGGCUUCACACGUAAUACAAUGGCGCGUACAGAGGGUUGCCAACCCGCGAGGGGGAGCUAAUCUCAGAAAGCGCGUCGUAGUCCGGAUCGGAGUCUGCAACUCGACUCCGUGAAGUCGGAAUCGCUAGUAAUCGCGGAUCAGCAUGUCGCGGUGAAUACGUUC
rnacentral:rRNA from 1 species